GUGAGAGGGUUCUCUGAAAGUUUCCAGCAAAUGGCAAAAAUUUCUAAACGCAUUUGCUUAUUUUCCAAGAUAAAAUAAUAUUAUUCAAAAUGUGUCUAAAGACCGUUUUAACCCCACCUAAGCUCAGUGGGCAAGUGGAAAAACGCAGUACCUCUAGUUAGGCUGUUACUAUAAAGACAAAUACCUCUCACCUCUACUACUCUCAGUUGGUCACUGCUUUUUUUUCCUUGCUCUGCAAUCUUCUUUCCACUUUUAGUAUAACAAAAGUUCACGUUUUCUAGCUAUUUGUAAAGCUCUCGAAUCUUCUUCAUCACGGGCAAAACUAUGUGAAUAUGUACAUUCUGGUAGAAAUGUGUAAUUCACUCCGUAGCUAGGGUUUUACACAUCACAUUGACGAGGAAAAAGCUUAUUAUCUCUUCCAAGUGUCUCUCAUUGUUUUCAUAAUCUGUACGUACGUAGUGGAAAGUUAUUUGCAGAAACUGUACGGACUGUGAAAAUUUGUGCUGUAACUUCAGAAUGAGUGUGGAAAUUGAAGAAUGGAGCUCAGAAGAGCUGAUGGAAUCGGAGGCCACUACGCUAUAGAGAUCUUAAAAGAGUCGAGGCUUACGUACAGAAAAGCAUUCAUGUUAUCAUUGUCUAACCUGCAAACUUGUAAGGAUUUUGAUUCAUCAAUUUUACGAGAUUUGAGGAUCAUGUACAGUAAAACAUUCAUGUUAUCAUUGUCUAAACUGCAAAUUUGUAAAGAUCUGCCUGAGGAUUUUGAUUCAUCAGUUUUACUUGAACUUGACGGUGUAUCUGAUUGUAAGCUGGGAAUGCAACAGACAUCUGCGAUCCUACCCUCAUAUGCUUCAAACAAUUGUUAUAUUGGCUCGUCACCUGCUCUUAGAUGUGAUUUGGUUUCCGAUUCUCGAGGAUCUUGUGGAAGAUGGGAAAAACAAUUUUCACUUUUGAACACAGAGAGCACUUCACAGGGAAGCUGUGAUUCUGAUUCCAAGGCGCAGAAUGAUUGCUCUGGGAUUUUGGGAUCAUUUCUUAGUAAGAGCAAGAAUCCUUAUCGUCCACCACAGUAUUACAAGGUUGGCAAUUCGGAUUCAUAUCCUAGCCAUUCAUCUAAAGGAACGAAGUCUCUGACUUGUGCUACUCAAGAGGAUGCACAAUUAAACAAUGAUACUCUUCAAGAUGAUGUAAUUGGGGAUAAAGGUUCUGAUGUUGUGACUACUCACUGGAGCAAGCAGAUUCCGUACUUAUCUGAAGCCCAAAAAUCUGUCAACAAGUCUGUGGAUGAGGAGAAGUCAAAGUGCAAAGCACCUGGUUCUAUUAAUGCUGCCAUUACUACUCAGCAAGAACAACUUGAUUCUGAAGCUAAAACACAAACUGCGAAUAUUAAUCUGGAAGAUGCUGAAAAAAGACAACUUGGAAAUAUACUAGAGUUUUGUCCCUUUUCAUCUACUUUGCAGAAGGAAGUAUCACCGCAACAUACUGACUUUCUUGGCAUUGAAACAAGAUGUUUGAGGGGGCCGUGUCCUGAUAGAAUUGAGAGUGGUAGUCAUACAGUCAACAUUUUAGCAGAGGAAAGUCAUGAAAAUCUUAAACUUAAUCUGGAGACCAAGGAAGAUUCUGAAACUGAAAUCAGCAAUGAGUUGCUCUCAGAUGAAGUAGUCUUCCCUUUGCAGGGAAAUUUGUAUGAGAAGAUUUCUAAAGCCGACAAGUUACAGUCCAAUGAAUUCUUCCUAGCAUCAGUUCUCGGCAAUUGUGGAGCUUUUGGGACAGAUGGUGAAGGCAUCAGGGAUUCUAUCUUUGAUUGUGAGCUUGAGUUGGAUGAGAUCGAGGAGAGUACAUCUGCUUUUGAUGAUUUUUGGACUGAAAUAUUGGCAAUUAUUCAUUUGGAGAAAGAACUUAAGUACAGUUACUCAGCUGAUACAGUUAACAUAACUGAAUCUGAAGUCCCACUACAUUUACCGGAUGAAGAUGAAUUGAUUUUACUCAAUUAUCAGGAAGGCCCAAAAGAGCCCAACAACCCUCCUGCAGACACUUCCACUGAUUUAGAUUUUCUGGAAGAUGAAAUCAAUUUGCCUGAUGAGGACAGUUUGAUUUCUAUUGACAAUCUAUUAUCCCUCACAAAGCAUUGCUCAGAGGUAACUUUUGCUGGUAGAACUGAUAGAUUGAUACCUAACUUCACUGCUGACAACACUGGACACCGAAAAGUUGCUCAUUUUUAUGAGAAAUCUUUUCCACCUGGUCAGAAAAUUCUACCAUCUCCCAAUUUUUCAAGCUCUGCAACUCACCAGAAAUCAUGUCCUCAACAGAUCUUUUCUCAGACCCCGUGUUUCCAUGUGAAUCCAGAAAUUCCAACUUUCCAUCCUUUGGAUCUUUAUUUAACUUGCAGUGAUUUCCAGAACUUCAGAGAAGAGCUUGUCCACCAUUACCCUGCGGUUUAUUGGUACCCUUGUUCUAACAUUCAUCAUGAGUCUUCCAUGAAAACCGCACCUUCCAAAGAAAGGAAAUAUGAAGAUCUUGAACGGUAUACAAUGUCACAUCAGCCAGAUAAUUUUCACCUUCAGCAAAUGGAACUGCUAAGUGUGUCACCGACAGAUCCUAUUGAGCAAGUCGUUUACGAUGUUGUACAACAAUGGGAUGCUAUGCAACUAUUGCCUGAGAGUUAUCAACAAUUACACCACCCAGGAUUUAGAUUCCCAAUAUGAAGUGAGAUUAUCCAGAUGCUGCUGAUGUGCAACUAGAAGCAAAAAAAGAAAACUUAAUUGCAAUCCAACUUCCACUGUCUCCAGCAAAGAAUGCACCGUAGGAUUUUAUACAACAAUUGCACAAAUCUCAUUCCCUGCUGAAGUUUGUAAAUACAGACCCAUUUAGUUUAGACCGGAAAGCAGGUUGUUGGCACUUGUUUUAGUUGGGAAAGUAACUGACUGUAGGAUAACACAAUAUUCAUCAAGGCUUAAAGAAAAAUAUGCUGAUUAACUUUAACAUCCUGUUAGUUUUCCAGGGAUCAAGAAGGCCCAUAUCCUAAAUUAGUGACCUCCAUUGACUUUGGAGGGAUGCCAAGCCUAAGGUCCCACCAAGUGAUCGGACCUGUGUCCCUGUGACCACUAUCUUUUUUUGUAUUUUUCUAAAAGAAAGCUUCAACGAUGUGAAAUUGUUGGUAUCUUCCUCCUUGUGCAUAUCAACUGAUAUAUUAGCUACUUACUUAUUCAUGUUCUAAAUAUACCAGUAAAAUUAU